CGCUAACAGGAGAGCUGAGCACUCGUGGCGAGACUGCCGCCGACAAGGCGGAGGAAGGUGGGACGACGUCAAGUCAUCAUGGCCUUUAUGCCCAGGGCUACACACGUGCUACAAUGGCCGGCACAGACGGCAGCUUAGUGGCGACACUUGGCAAAUCCUCUAAAAGCCGGUCCCAAGUUCGGAUUGUAGUCUGCAACUCGACUACAUGAAGCCGGAAUCGCUAGUAAUCGCAGAUCAGCCAAGCUGCGGUGAAUACGUUCCCGGGCCUUU
rnacentral:rRNA from 1 species